UACGUAGGGGGCGAGCGUUGUCCGGAUUUAUUGGGCGUAAAGAGCUCGUAGGCGGUUCGAUAAGUCAGGUGUAAAAACUCCAGGCUCAACUUGGAGAGGCCACCUGAUACUGUCGUGACUAGAGUCCGGUAGAGGAGCACGGAAUUCCUGGUGUAGCGGUGAAAUGCGCAGAUAUCAGGAGGAACACCAACGGCGAAGGCAGCACUCUGGGCCGGAACUGACGCUGAGGAGCGAAAGCGUGGGUAGCGAACAGG
rnacentral:rRNA from 1 species